UUUUUUAUUUUAGUGAACUCUUUUUAAAAAACCAAAUUAUCCAUUGAUAAUUCAGUUCACCAAGUUCAAAUUCGGUUCAUCAAAUCAUAAUUUUAGUUCACUAGAUUCACAUUCAGUUCACCACAAUUCUCAUCAUAAUCUUAUAGUUUAGUUCACUAAAAACACCAUCUAAUUCAGUUCAUUAAAAUAUGUUCAUCUGGAUUCAAGUUUUUAAUUCACGCAAAUCUAGUUCACCAAGUUCAAAUUUUGGGGGUCAUCAAAUCAUAAUUUUAGUUCAGUAGACUCAUAUUUAGUUCACUUCAAUACUCAUCAUAAUCUCAAAGUUCAGUUCACUGAAUUCAAAUUCAGUUCGUCUAAAUUUGUUCAUCUGGAUUCAAGUUUUAGCUCACGGAAAUAUAAUUCAUUUCAUGAUUUAUGUAUUCAAAAACCAGGCCAGUUGUUUUUUAUUUUAGUGAUUUAAAAAAAACAAAUUAUACAUUGAUAAUUCAGUUCACCAAGUUCAAAUUUGGUUCAUCAAAUUAUAAUUUUAGUUCACUAGAUUCACAUUCAGUUCACCACAAUUCUCAUCAUAAUCUUAAACUAUAGUUCACUAAAAAACACCAUCUAAUUCAAUUCAUUGAAUUUUAUAUAAUUUGCAUUCAAAAUUUAGUUCAUUAAAUUAGUUUUAUAUAAUUUUGAUUAAAAAUUUAGUUCAUGAAAUUUGCAAUGAAAACCCUGUUAGUUGUUUUCUAUUUUAUUAUAUUUCAUGGGAAAUAAAAGGUGUUCAAUCGAAUUCAAAAUUUGUUCAUCAACAGUCAGAUUAUAAUGAACCAAAUCCGUAUUUGGUUUUACAACACCGAUAAUCUAGUUCACUAGACUCAUAUUUAGUUCAUUUCAAUACUCAUCAUAAUCUCAAAGUUCAGUUCACAGAAUUCAAAUUUAGUUCAUCUAAAUUAGUUCAUCUGGAUUUAAGUUUUUAGUUCACGUAAAUCUAGUUCACCAAGUUUAAUUUUAGUUCAUCAAAUCAUAAUUUUAGUUCACUAGACUCAUAUUUAGUUCACUUCAAUACUCAUCAAAAUCUCAAAGUUUAGUUCACUGAAUUCAAAUUCAGUUCAUCAAAAUUAGUUCAUCUGGAUUCAAGUUUUUAGUUCACGCAAAUCUAAUUCAAUUCAUGAUUUCUGUAUUGAAAAACCAGGCCAGUUGUUUUUUCCUUUAGUGAACUUUUUUUUAAAAACCAAAUUAUACAUUGAUAAUUCAGUUCACCAAGUUCAAAUUCGGUUCAUCAAAUCAUAAUUUUAGUUCACUAGAUUCACAUUCAGUUCACCACAAUUCUCAUCAUAAUCUUAAAGUUUAGUUCACUAAAAAACAUUCAAGGUUUUAGUUCACGCAAAUCUAGCUCACUAACUUCAAAUUUUGG
rnacentral:lncRNA from 1 species